UACGUAGGGGGCAAGCGUUGUCCGGAUUUAUUGGGCGUAAAGCGCGUGUAGGCGGCCAGGUAGGUCCGUUGUGAAAACUGGAGGCUUAACCUCCAGCUGUCGAUGGAAACCAUCUGGCUAGAGUACGGAAGAGGAGAGUGGAAUUCCUGGUGUAGCGGUGAAAUGCGUAGAUAUCAGGAGGAACACCGGUGGUGUAGACGGCUCGCUGGACCGUAACUGACGCUGAGACACGAAAGCGUGGGGAGCAAACAGG
rnacentral:rRNA from 1 species